ACGUAAAAAAUGAAGUCGCAGAAUUACUAUAUAUACUCAGAUUCAGAAGAAGAGGAAUCAGUAUUCGGUUUAAUGUUUAGUCUCAUUUAUAAACGCGUUUAUGAUACGUACCUACCUAUAUCAGAUCCAUUAAAUAUUCAAAUCGUAAUAAUUUGAAGAAGAUAUUUUAUAAAAUGCUGUCCACCAAAAUCUAUUUCCUCAUUUUACUGUUCGUAGCAUUACAAAUUUAUGCUGUUAAAUACUACGCAGUUGUUGCUCCUGAUAAUGAUCCACCACACGCUGGAACUGACACCGAUAUCUAUGGACAAUGCUGGCCUCGUCCACCUCCCGACAACACUCCACUUCAAGAUAGUGACAGUGAUACAGAAUCAUCAUAGGUACCUAUUAUUAAGAAAAAAUCAGCGUGUCAAUUUUUUCGUAUAAAUUUACAGACCUCUAUUUUUAAGAAGAAUACAACUAAUAAUUUUAAUUUUUCCACGGUAAGUAAAUUUACAGACCUUUAUUUUAAGAGAAAUAGGAACCCAGUAAUGUUAAUUUUUUCAUAUAA